AACGAACGCUGGCGGCAUGCCUAACACAUGCAAGUCGAACGAGACCUUCGGGUCUAUUGGCGCACGGGUGCGUAACGCGUGGGAACCUGCCCUUAGGUUCGGAAUAACUCCCCGAAAGGGGUGCUAAUGCCGGAUAAUCUCUUCGGACCAAAGAUUUAUCGCCUUUGGAUGGGCCCGCGUUGGAUUAGCUAGUUGGUAGGGUAAAAGCCUACCAUGGCGACGAUCCAUAGCUGGUCGGAUAGGAUGAUAAGCCACACUGGGACUGAGACACGGCCCAGACUCGUACGGGAGGCAGCAGUAGGUAAUAUUGGACAAUGGACGAAAGCCUGAUCCAGCAAUGCCGCGGGAGUGAUGAAGGCCUUAGGGUUGUAAAGCUCUUUUACCCGGGAUGAUAAUGACAGUACCGGGAGAAUAAGCACCGGCUAACUCCGUG
rnacentral:rRNA from 1 species